CGGAUGAGAUUAAUUCACGACGUUUCAAGAUGAACCUUAUUAGCUUCUUGCGAGAUAAAAGGCGCAUGAGCGUACUUGGGACCUCUGAAUGGGACGCGCGUAAUCUUUUGAAUCAAUAUCGGGGCACGAUAUACGUGGAAUACGCGUCGCCUGUAUACACGCGAUGCGAUGCCCUUCGCAACAACCUGGAUUUACAGAUAAUGCAAACGCAUCGCCUGCACAUGCACUCCGCCCUUUUGCGGAGGAGAGAAAAAUACGCGAACCGAUCACCGAUCGAUCUACCUGCCGGGGAAUUCGUUGCGAUCAAGAAUUCGUUGUUUUUCAUUCUCUUAGUUUUACAAAACUAUUAAUUUAUAGGGCGUUCGUGACGUGAAAUACGGCACGGCGUCUCUGGGGCGUUUUAUCUACGAUGGAUAAUUAUGCUCGCUAGUUGAUUGAAUUUUACAAUCGAUAACAAUAACGACCCUAAUUGGCGUAGUGCGAGCUUUUUGUGUCGGCUCAAACACGGCGUAACGUCCCAAUAAAUAUCCAUCUGACGUAUAAAAUGGAUAAAUGAAUAGCCGGAGUAGGCAAACCCGUUUUGCCGGACGUCGAACAACCUGACGUGUUAUUCGAAUCGAAUGAAACUCGACCAGCGCGUGAAACUCAAUGAAAGUAGCUCGAUACCCACCCUAUAAUACAAAAGCGGUGAACACGUGAUGUAUAAUGUUUGAAUUGGGUUUUUCGCACGCGAGGUUUAAUCAACUUGAAACCAACUCUAGUUUAUAUAUAAAUAAUCGGGGAAUUGAAUCGUCGCUGUUUGUUUUUUGGUGGAUUUUUUCUUUUCAUCGUAAAUCCAACGCUCGGGAGGAGGAAAAGUUCGAAAAAAGGACAUCCGCGAUCGGUGGGGAAAACUAAACCGCGUACCUACUCUGCACGGGAACAAAAUUCGAGUGCAUCCCCCGUUUACCGUCGCAGGGCGGACUUUUGCUCUCGCGUUAGGCGGCUCGAAAAUAAACGUAAAAAAAGGGAAAAGAAAAAUACGCUCAACAUCCACCACCGACGGAUUGCCUAGCAACCGUUCAACCCCCUCCACACUUCUUUCUCCGCGUCGACGGCGAGCGUCGCGACGCACCAUCGUCGUCUCCACUGCCGCCCCGACGACCGUCUAACCAGUAGUUUAGUUCGUAGCCUCCGCAACACGCUGUCUAUCUUACUAUCUAUUCUUCGAUGAAACAUUCGUUUUUCUUACACUAUUUAUAUUUUAUCAUUUACGUCUGUCGCUCCGAUAUAAACUGCACUUUGAAACUAUAUUCCUAUUCUAUCGCUUCGAGUCGCCCAUGAUAUAUGCCGAUUUCAUAAUUUACACCGACGAUUAAACAUCAUUACGAAUUCGUAACGUAUUCGUUUGAAGUUCGUCAGGUUCUGCUCUAAUUUCUCAUUCUUUGUAAUUUUAAUUCGCUUUUUUGUACUCCGACAAUCGGUUGUUUGGGGAUUUUUAUUCCUUUCAUCGAUACGCGCGAUCGGUAUCGUGCCUUAUGAUUUUCACUUUCAACUUUUCAUUCAGCGACUUGCAGGUCGGAUGUAAUGGUGUAAUUUUGUUGAACAAUUACUAUUUUCCUGGUGGUGAACUUUGACGCGACGAAACAAGCGUCAUUGAUUUCUGGUUAAUCGUUAAUUUUUCGAUUCGAAAUUACACGCGUUGUGAUUAUAUCGUAAGGAGACUGUAAAAACAAUUUAAAAAAAAAUCAAAAAAGAAAAACGGAGGAUAACGAAGGAAUAAAUAAUCAAACGAUACCGUGUCCAUUUUUUUAUUCUUUCAUUCGGAAGGCCGAUUGUGGAUUAGAACAAAGUCCGAUAAUUAUUAUAGAGAGAAAAUACACUGAAGAUUUGGAGGCAUAAUAUGUAAAUGGCAACUACGAAGACUGACUAUAAAGAGAAAAGUGCAGAAACUAAAAAGAGGAAGUAUUACGAAGGGCUCAAAAAAAAAAAAAA
rnacentral:lncRNA from 1 species